rnacentral:rRNA from 1 species
CCCCGAGGCCACGCCGCCCUGAACGCACCCGAUCCUGGCCGAUCUCGGAAGCUAAGCAGGGUCGGGCCUGGUGAGUACUCGGAUGGGAGACCACCUAGGAAGACUGGGUGCUGCAGGCG